CGCUGGCGGCGUGCCUAAUACAUGCAAGUCGAACGGUCUUUCUAUGGAAGCUUGCUUCCACUGAGAAGAUAGUGGCGAACGGGUGAGUAACACGUGGGUAACCUGCCCAUAAGAGGGGGAUAACAUCCGGAAACGGGUGCUAAUACCGCAUAGUUUUUCCUGAUCACAUGAUUGAGAAAGGAAAGACGGCCUUUGUGCUGUCGCUUAUGGAUGGACCCGCGGCGUAUUAGUUAGUUGGUGAGGUAACGGCUCACCAAGACGAUGAUACGUAGCCGACCUGAGAGGGUGAUCGGCCACAUUGGGACUGAGACACGGCCCAAACUCCUACGGGAGGCAGCAGUAGGGAAUCUUCCGCAAUGGACGAAAGUCUGACGGAGCAACGCCGCGUGAGUGAAGAAAAGGUUUUCGGAUCGUAAAACUCUGUUGUCAGAGAAGAACAAGUUGGAGAGUAACUGCUCCAGCCUUGACGGUAUCUGACCAGAAAGCCACGGCUAACUACGUGCCAGCAGCCGC
rnacentral:rRNA from 1 species